AGCCUGAACGCUGGCGGCGUGGUUAAGACAUGCAAGUCGCACGGUGUAGCAAUACACAGUGGCGAACGGGUGAGUAAUGAAUCGCUAAUGUGCCCCGGACUCUGGGAUAGCUAGCCGAAAGGUUAGGUAAUACCAGAUGACAUAUUCCUACCGCAUGGUCGGGAAUCUCAAAGGUCCGCCGGUCUGGGAGCAGGCGAUUUCGUAUCAGCUAGUUGGUGAGGUAACGGCUCACCAAGGCGACGACGCGUAGCCGGACUGAGAGGUUGGCCGGCCACAUCGGGACUGAGACACUGCCCGGACUCCUACGGGGGGCUGCAGUAACGAAUCUUCCCCCAAUGCACGAAAGUGUGAGGGAGCGACGCCGCGUGUGGGACGAAGUCCUUCGGGAUGUAAACCACUGUCAGGGGAUACCAAGUUCUGAGGAUCCCCAGAGGAAGAGGCGGCUAACUCUGUGCCAGCAGCCGC
rnacentral:rRNA from 1 species